rnacentral:tRNA from 1 species
GCAAGUGUAACUCAAUCGGCAGAGUAACUGCCUCUUAAGCAGUAAGUUGUGGGUUCGAUUCCCUCCACUUGCAC